rnacentral:rRNA from 1 species
UGGGGAAUAUUGGACAAUGGGCGAAAGCCUGAUCCAGCCAUGCCGCGUGUGUGAAGAAGGUCUUCGGAUUGUAAAGCACUUUAAGUUGGGAGGAAGGGCGUUAACCUAAUACGUUAGUGUUUUGACGUUACCGACAGAAUAAGCACCGGCUAACUCUGUGCCAGCAGCCGCGGUAAUACAGAGGGUGCAAGCGUUAAUCGGAAUUACUGGGCGUAAAGCGCGCGUAGGUGGGUUGUUAAGUUGGAUGUGAAAUCCCCGGGCUCAACCUGGGAACUGCAUUCAAAACUGACUGACUAGAGUAUGGUAGAGGGUGGUGGAAUUUCCUGUGUAGCGGUGAAAUGCGUAGAUAUAGGAAGGAACACCAGUGGCGAAGGCGACCACCUGGACUAAUACUGACACUGAGGUGCGAAAGCGUGGGGAGCAAACA